rfam:Schistosoma mansoni strain Puerto Rico chromosome W, complete genome
GCCCAACUGAAGAGUCCCAAAUAGGACGAAAAUGGAGUUCUGGAU